UCUGUGCCCUGCUUCUGUGCACUGAGCCUGAAGGGGCCUCUUUCAGAGAUCUUAGGCUAAAAUGACCCAGUUGAGGCUGCUCCUGAAGAGAUGGUUGUUUUGAGAGCGAUUUAAACAGUUAAUACAUGUGCUUAAAAUCAUCAGGCCACAGGGCAUAAGUGCUUCUCCUUGUGAUUAAUACCUGUACCC